UCCUUUCAAGUGCCAACAAUACCUCAGCAAUACCAUAGUGUUGAAAGCUAUCUCGAGUUGUUAAAGAACGAGCCAAUCCAAUGUCUGCAGGACUAGCAGGUCUAUGACUAAGUAUAUUCUCAUUCAUACUAUCUGACCUUCUGUAAGAAAUUGGGUGGUCUGAAAUCAACUCUGUAGAGACUUCAAGUGCAUUAUUAUCUAUAGAGCUGUUGGGUUGAUGGCCUUGCGACACCUGAGAGAUCAUGGACCGCGACUCAUGCAAAGAUGUACUGUUUCUGUCAGGUCUGUUGCCAUGCGAUCUUGCUCUUGACGUCCCAUUAAUUGAUGUCCUAGAGCGACCUGAUGCAAUG
rnacentral:misc_RNA from 1 species